GAUAAAAUAAUGGAGCUCAAAACACUGCAAUUGGUACUGUUUCAGUGCAUGAAACUAUUGGUUUCUGCUGAAAUUAGGUGCAUAGAGAGUCCAUCUUAAAUAUAUAUAUAUAUUUUUUAUUCAUGGCAGUCCCUUGUUGCAAUGUUUGGUAAUUAAGAAUACUGUCUUUUCACCGUGUAUACGUAAUUUCCCCGUCUCUACCAAAAAGUAUUGACUAGAAUCAACUAUAUGAUAGCACCAAAGACUUUUAUGUGUCAUCUCAC
rnacentral:lncRNA from 1 species